GACAUACAUGGGGUUUUCUAAACUCCAGAGAAGUUCCAAAUGGUUUUUUAAUAAACCUCCGGAAUGUUUCACGUUCAUGCACAUUUACACCAUCCUAUGCCUUAUUAUUUUUCACAUGCUCAUAAAACCUAAAACCCUAAAAACUUCAAAUCUUCAUCUCUGAAUGGGAAAAACAUUUCGCGUUCGCAUCUCUUCGUCUCAAACCGAUUUUGCUCUUCGAUAUUUGGUGCGUUUUCCAUAUUUCCGGUCCGUUUGAUAGUAGUUGCUUAGAGGAUUUAGUACGCAUGGUGUAUGUGUUGCGGGUUCACGACGACUGCUUUGAAGGUUCACGACUACUUCGAAGAGUUACGUAUCUAGCCACGGUGGUGAUGAAAGAGCAUAGCACUUGAGAGAGCAGCAACAAAACCUUCCAUCAAAAUCAACG